UCGUCCCGUAACACAAUAGUAAUCGAUUCACUAUAUAAUCAGCUCAUUCUAUUAUAUCAUUAGAAAUCUUUUAAAAAAUAAUAAUAAAUAAGAGAUAUUAAAAAAAAAGAAAUAUAUUCUAAUUAAAAUUUUAAAUUAAUAUUCUUACAAAACUCACCCCGUCGAUAAAGAAAGAUCGGAAAGGAUUGCUCGAUUGGGCGGAAACCCCAAACGGACUACGUAGAAAGGGGGCGUAUCCACCAUGUAUCUUAGCCAAGACAACGAGUUCUCAUUGGCCCUCGUAGCAGCGCAUCGUCGGACUUGCACGUUUCACCGAUCCAAUUGGUUGACACGAAUUGGGUCGAUCGAAUCCAUCACCACGACGCCCACCAGUGGUACCUUGCGGCACCGGUCGGACACCAAAAACCAA
rnacentral:lncRNA from 1 species